UGAAAUCUUGCCUCCUAACCAUAAGCACACACUCGAGAGUGCUCGAGCCCAGGGCUGCAAGAAGUUAGGACACUUCGGGUACAACCUCCAGGCACCAGGAGCAGCAAGAGGGAUGGGCUUUUCAGUUGCAAUCCACACCCUCCUAGUGUCAGUGAUUACCUAUUUUUCUGUGCAUUCCUGAAGACACCUGAGAGGAAAAUUUGUCAAUAAAACUUCCGCAGAGACCAACUUCAUUCGUUCGGUCAGCUGAUAUGCCCCUGGCACCCCUGGACACGUCUCCGAGGCCAUCUCCUUGGCCAGUUCUUCAGGUUGCUUCUUGGUGACGCGGCAGAAAUCCGCCUCUGUCCAACUGGCCACUAAUUGUGUCAACUGCCAAUGGAGUCUUGCAGCUCAGCAACAAGCACCAUGAAUGGGAUGAUGAUCUGGCAACGCCAGAGCCAAUUUGGGAGAGAUUCCAGCGAUUUGUCUUGAUUCUUUCACCACAUCAUUCAUUACAUUCUGCCAAAUGCUGUGGCCACAGAAAACUCAGAAAGAAAAAACAAAACUCUGAGAAGAAAUUGAUAAGUAUUUCCAGGCUGAAUAAGCAUUUUAAUCCCACUCCUAAGUCCUAGUCUCCAAAAUGCUCUCGCUCGUAAAUCCAACUCAGAAAAAAAAAUUCAUGAAAGAGAAGUAAAAAAAGAAAAAGAAAACAUAGCGCCAUUAAUUGAAUAUCAUUUGAAAUUUAAAUUGGUGAAUUUAAAAUUUGAUGGCACUUUUCCACGCUAAAAAGAGAAAGACAGGCCUCACUCUAUUUUUAGGAGAUAAUCUCCUAAAUUAGCUCCAAAUUUAUCUCAAUAGAGAAUUCAAAUCUAUCUCACUCUCCAUCACCAACGAAUUAAUGAGAUUUCAGUGGCAGAAUAAUUUCUCACCAUACUUGUCAUCCCAAUGUUUGAGCUACUCCCUUUCUUCUGAUAUUUUCAUCUGCACAGAGAGAAAAUUCAAUUGGGUGAAACACAAGUCAAGGGGGGUGGAUUGCCCAAUCAUGGUGUACUCUGGAGGGUUAAAAUUUAGAACACAUGCUGAAAACUUGCUUGAAUUUUAAUACAAGCAGAUAAUUAUUAUUUUCGUAAAUAUUCCAUGCUAAUUAAAUUAGCAUAAAUUAACUGCCAAUAAACAGUUAGAUGGGAACACGUUUUUGUGAUAAUUUAGGAAACACUUUAUAUACUAAAAUUUUAAUACAUUCACAGUGAAUUUCUGUGAAAGUCACGAAUCAUUAAUUUACCAUUUACUUUGCCUGAGUAUUCUGAUUUUGAUGAGUUAUUUUUUUUAGUACAGAAAAGCCUAUUCCAGUAAAAUCAGGUGUUCUAAAAAUUGAAAAUGUCUGAGAAGGGGAUGAAAAGUAAGAAUGAACACGGAAAUAUUCAAAGAAGUUAGUUUAUGAAAAAUAUCACACUGGGAGCCACAUAAAAUUUAUAGUAAAUUCAUAUUUUAGUACUAAAAUUUCGGUCAAAAUCUUUUAACACAUGUGUCAAAUAGUGAAAUGAAAUUAUGGAUAAAUUUAGUUUGGUGUUAAUUUAAAUUCACUAUUAUCGAAUUAAACGGGUUAAAAGCUACCUGAAAGUCUUAAAAAAUGAAAUACUAAAUGUUUCUCCUACGGAAGCGGCAUGAUUUCCUGAUACAGAUCCUUUAUUUCAACAAAAAAAAAUAGAAAUAUAAAUUCAAGUAAAUAUUUUUGGAUAAAAAUACUGGACUUGGUGACUGCAUCACGAGAUUAUUUUUCUUGACAAUCUUAAUUGGAAUACACUCAGAAUAACUGUACUAAAAAUUAGUACUACAAAAAUUGUACUCUGGGAAUUAUUUUGCAUCCCUGCUUUUCGUAAGCUUUUGCUUUAUUCUAGCACCGAUGUAAAGAUUGAAGUUUUUUUGACGUAUUAGUACUAAAAAAAAAUUUUCCUCAAGUCUUUUAUUUACUAAACAUUUUUUAGUAACUAACUUCUUAAAGGUAUCACAUUUCGCUAGCUCUCCGUUAUAAAUCUUCGCACUAUUCUAAAGGUGCUUAUUAUAUUUAGAAUACUUGAUUUUAGAAAUACGUUUUGAAAUCAAUUUAAUUGAAAAGAAAUAAAGAAAAAGAAAAAACUAUUAUUACCGUCACGUAGGGGAUACGCUGUUCUAAAAUUUCAACAGUAAUUUACUUAAAAUUCGGGUGUGCAAUUUGCUUUUCAAACAGAGUAUUAAAGACUGAACAAGUAAGUUCACUUUUGUAGCCCCAAAAAAUGGACAAAUCAUUAAGUUAAUCAAAAUAUUUAAUAUUGGUAAUAAUUUAAUAAUAUGGUCAGUAAAACUGAAAAUUGGUAAGUAGUGAAAUAUUAUUGGCAAAGAAAAAUUAAAAAGUUAUGGACCAUUUUAAUUUUUAUAGCUCUAGCACACCUUUUAGAUCAGGAAAAUUUCAUAAGGUCAAAAUUCAAAUACAUUACUUUCUUAAAAGUUUUGCAUGUCUAUCCUACUUUUUCGAAUUCUUCUUUUUUUUUGAACAUCACACGAAAUUAAAUUUAGCUCAGUCCAAUUUGAGACGGAAAGAGUGGGAUAGACUUAUGCAAAUUCAUUGAGAAAGAAAAGGACACGAAUUUUGAUUUCAUGAAAUUUUACCGAGCUAAAAGGUGUGCCAAAGGGAUUACUGACCAAUUUGAAUAUUUUGCUUGCCAAAAUUACUAACUCGCGGACCAAAUAUGCUUUUUCUUUCAACCUUUAUACCUCUAGCCCCUCCAUCACACCUUUUAGAUCAGAAACAAUCAAUCAAAUUAAAAUUUAUAUUCCUAUUUUCCUGUAACAGCAAAUUCAAUUUAGUUUAAUUAAAUUUGAGUACUAAAUAUUAGAGUGGAAAAUAUCAUAUUUUUUUUCUUUCUUCUAACAUAAUAUUUUUUUUUUAUUUUUAUUCAAUUUCUUAAGCAUAUAAAGAACUAUAUUUUCUGAAAUCGCCAAUUAAAAAUCUCAAAAAUUCAGGCUAUGGGAUCUGAUUUUCAGAGACCUUGCAAUAAAAAUAUGCAAAACAUUUGGAAAAGAGCUAUGAAUGUUGAUUUAAUGAAACUUUCCCAAUUUAAAAUGUGCGCCAGAGGUAUUAGUACUGAAUUACACAUAGUUUAUUUAACUAAUUGAUUUUUCUGCCUAAACCUUGACCUUUUGAGGUAUUUUUUAAAAUUUUAUUGAAGUUGUAAAUUUCUACUUUGAUGAUCAUCGAUGUUGUUCUAAAAUAUUCUUUAGUACAGAGUAGUGUACACCAAAAAGUAGUACUGGCAGUCGCCUUGUGCAAAAUUGUCUUUUGGCAAAUCGAAGCUUCUGGAAGCUCUUUCACCCAGGCCGGGGGUGUCUUGGUGAAAGGCGAGGUCGACAGGGAGGGAAAAUAUUGACAAACCACCCCCAAGGAGUUGCGCCAUCAUCCCCUAAGCACAUUUAGCUUCCAAGCACACGCCAAGUAGAAGAAAAAGAAGCAGGAAAAUCUCUUGUACAACUUUUCUGCUUCAUAUCUAAUCUUUGUUCUUUUGCUCUGCAAAAUCUUUAUGGUUUUUUUCCUUUCCUCGCUGGCGGGGUUUGGUACCAACAAAAAAAAAAUAAUAAUAAAUAUCUUGUUGCUAUGGGAAUGAAAAAAGAGCUGGAGGGUUGAAAUUUCUAGCAUCCUUGACAUCUCAGUUUUCCUAGGCGCGCGCUUUUGAUGAAAUUUGAUGGAAAAGUCUGGGUCGAGAUGAGAAAAUGGUGUCACUUUGAGCAUAAAAUAUUUCCAAACGGUUCUUUUUUUUCUACAUGACGCGCGAUCUUCGGCAUUUUUUUCUACAUAAAUUACAUUACAUGGGCAAAAAGACACAACAGAUGUUCGAAACAUUAAAAACCCCCAAGUAUUUCUUUAUGACCAUGGAUUUUAACUGUCCUCUUGUUCGAUUUUACUGGGAAACUUCAGGUAUAUCGGGGACACUGUGUAAAUGUUUUCCCUGGCCUCUGUGCCCUAAAGUCUUCUACCCCGAAAUGAAUUUUAUGAGGCAUACAAUUAAAUUUAUUGUCCAAAUGGCAAUAGGACUAGAACUCUAAACAGCUAAAGUUCAAACAUUGCUACACUCAGAAAAAUAUUUACAAUCAAUGAUUUUACAGUUUUUGCACAUUGGUUUUAGGAAGAUGUAGAUGUUUUGAAAUGCUAAAAUAAAUCCAUUUUUCUGGGCAUUAUUGAUCAUCUCGCAAAGGGUAAAAUUACCCUGAAUUACCCUGAAAUAAAUAUUACUUUAUUUUUUUUUUCUUUUUCUCAGUGUACAGUAGAAAUUUCAUACUCAGUUGUUUGGGAAGGAAUUAACGAUUUUGGAGAAGGGGGAUAACUUUCUAAAAACUUCCCUCGAUUAUUUUUUUUUCUGUCACCCUCCGUGAAUUUUUCAGCAUAAAUUUCUCCUGAAGGCUUCGACCCGAGAAAAGAGGCAACAUACCCAACAUACACUCAUAGACUUUGAUGGCAAUUGUCGAAG